AUACGGAGGGUGCAAGCGUUAAUCGGAAUUACUGGGCGUAAAGCGCGCGUAGGCGGCUUGAUAAGUCAGAUGUGAAAGCCCCGGGCUUAACCUGGGAACUGCAUUUGAAACUGUCAAGCUAGAGUGUGGUAGAGGUAAGUGGAAUUCCAGGUGUAGCGGUGAAAUGCGUAGAGAUCUGGAGGAACAUCAGUGGCGAAGGCGGCUUACUGGACCAACACUGACGCUGAGGUGCGAAAGCGUGGGUAGCAAACAGGAUUAGAUACCCUGGUAGUCCACGCCGUAAACGAUGUCAACUAGCCGUUGGAUUCAUUUAAGAAUUUAGUGGCGCAGCUAACGCAAUAAGUUGACCGCCUGGGGAGUACGGCCGCAAGGUUAAA
rnacentral:rRNA from 1 species